rnacentral:tRNA from 1 species
GAUUAAAUGGCUGAAAUUUAGGCGAUAGAUUGUAAAUCUAUUUAUGAAGGCUAUCUUCUUUAAUCA